GAGGAGGAACAAAGAUAAG
rnacentral:sRNA from 1 species